rnacentral:tRNA from 1 species
GAUCCCUUAGCUCAGUUGGAAGAGCUUUUGCCUAACACGCAGCAGGUCGCAGGAUCAAAACCUGCAGGGAUCA